rnacentral:rRNA from 1 species
UGAUUAGCUAGUUGGUGAGGUAAAGGCUCACCAAGGCGACGAUCAGUAGCUGGUCUGAGAGGACGAUCAGCCACACUGGGACAGAGACACGGCCCAGACUCCUACGGGAGGCAGCAGUGGGGAAUUUUGGACAAUGGGGGCAACCCUGAUCCAGCAAUGCCGCGUGUGUGAAGAAGGCCUUCGGGUUGUAAAGCACUUUUGUCCGGAAAG